UGAUGAUCAAGUUUAACAUUGCCUACAAUAUUGCAAAAGAAGAACUUCCCUUCACUAAAUUCAAGUCCGAAAUAAUUCUUCACAAGAAAAAUGGCUUGAACGUAAACCCGACCUACAGCAAUGAUGUCAUGUGCGCCCAAUUUAUUGGAGUCAUCGCAGAUACUCUGAAAAAAAAUACAUCGGUGCAAAUUGCGAACAGUGCAUACAUGGCAUUCCUGAUCGACGGAGACACAGACAUCGCCAAAAAGGAAUGCGUCAUUGUGUAUGGUCGUAUCUUGCAGAGAGGAGGACCGGUGAAUAUACUGAUUGGACACAUCGAGGUCCAGCAUGCCCAUGCCCAAGGAAUUUAUGCUGCCUCAAAGAAAGCAAUUGCUGCUCUUGGGGACCAGUGCAGUAACUGGCUGGAGAAAAUUAUUGCUCUGGGUGCUGAUGGUGCUGCUGUUAAUUUGGGCAGCAAAGGGGGUGUCAUAGCCCUUUUGCAGCAAGAGGCAGGUGAUCACAUUGUGCCUUUCCACUGCAUGCCUCACAGAUUGGAAUUGGCAAUGCUGUCAGUGCAGAGGGACAAUCAAAUGAUGGGGCAAUUGUACGACCUUCUACAUUUAAUUUGGAAGACUUACCAUUUCAGCCCAAAAUCAAUGAGAGAGCUCAGGGUCAUUGGGGCUGACUUGGGGGUAAAUGUGCUGAUGCCCAGUGGGGUGAAGGGGACAAGGUGGCUCCCACAUGUUUCAAGGGCCUUGGAGACCUUUCUUAAACAGUUCACUGCUGUGUACUACCAUAUGGACCAUUUGGCAAGCUCCUCUGCCAAUGCAGACAUUGCAGGCCGAGCUACAAAGGCCAGUGCAUUCUUUC